rnacentral:lncRNA from 1 species
UGAGAUACAAGGGCGACGAUUGGAAAUCGGCCGAUUGGUGCUACAGUUAAAGAUCGGCUGAUUGGUGCUACAGUUAAAGAUCGGUUGGUUGGUGCUACAAUCAAGGAUCGGUUGAUUGGUGCUACAGUCGAAGAUCGGCCGAUUGACCCUUGGAAUUCCACCUCGCCCGACCCCUAGGGUUUGGGAUCGGACGCGCCCGACCCUCCAAAGGAGGAUCUCCGCCCCGCCCGACCUUAGUUUCCAGGGUCGGAGUAAGUCUG